rnacentral:lncRNA from 1 species
UUAUAAUUUUUGUAAAUUCCUGAAUGCAUAUAUAUUCCUGUAUAUAUUUUUUUCCCGACAUUCAUAAUUUACAUUCAAUAUUACUCCCUAAAUUCAUUCAACUAUAAUGAUUAAAAUCAUCUAACAUUCAAAAUAUGUUAUAAAUCAUAAUAACAUCAUUAACAUUAUUCAUUGUAACAUUCAUAAUCUAAAAUAACAUUGGAACUUGACGAGUCGGAGUUGGUGUUGGAGUUGGAACUUAAGGACUUCGUGUAAAUCUUUUCUUAUUAACCAACUUUUUCUUGUAAGCCAUUUAUAAUCUGUGAAUACAACAAAAUAUUCAACAUUUAAAAUUGAUAAAAAUAGAAAAAUAAUUUAAAUAAAAA